rnacentral:rRNA from 1 species
UGAGACACGGCCCAGACUCCUACGGGAGGCAGCAGUGGGGAAUAUUGGACAAUGGGCGCAAGCCUGAUCCAGCCAUACCGCGUGUGUGAAGAAGGCCUGAGGGUUGUAAAGCACUUUCAAUUGUGAAGAAAAGUUAACGGUUAAUACCCGUUAACCUUGACGUUAACUUUAGAAGAAGCACCGGCUAACUCCGUGCCAGCAGCCGCGGUAAUACG